GUGCGGCUGGAUCACCUCCUUUCUAUGGAGUACCCGUGCGAAACGGAGUUUCGCACUACCGACCGCAGCGUCGGGGUACAAAUCUGGCGAAAGCCAUCCGUAUUGCAUCUCGUAAUCGGUUUUCAGGGCGUAAGCGCAGAUCCUCCUGCGAUAAAGAGUUCCCCAGUAUGAUCAUGGGGAACUCUUUUUUUGUAUUUACAUGAGCGAGUUAUAAACCAAACAUAAGAUUGCAUGGUUGUCGUCAGCUCGUGUCGUGAGAUGUUGGGUUAAGUCCCGCAACGAGCGCAACCCUUGAUCUUUGUUGCCAGCACGUAAUGGUGGGCACUCUAAGAUGACUGCCGGUGACAAACCGGAGGAAGGCGGGGAUGACGUCAAAUCAUCAUGCCCCUUAUGACCUGGGCUACACACGUACUACAAUGGCCGGUACAGAGGGCAGCGAUACCGCGAGGUGGAGCGAAUCUCAGAAAGCCGGUCUCAGUUCGGAUUGCAGGCUGCAACUCGCCUGCAUGAAGCCGGAAUUGCUAGUAAUCGCGGAUCAGCAUGCCGCGGUGAAUACGUUCCCGGGUCUUGUACACACCGCCCGUCACACCACGAGAGUUUACAACACCCGAAGUCGGUGAGGUAACCGCAAGGAGCCAGCCGCCGAAGGUGGGGUAG
rnacentral:rRNA from 1 species